UAUCUCUUAAUAUAAAUUUCUUAAUUAGAUAGCUGGUACAUAUAUAGGGCAAUAUUAAUUCUAAUUUCAUUAGGAAUAUGAUUAUUCCAAUUCUAUAUUAUAAUCGGGAUAUUUUGGAUUAAAAAAAAAAGAUAUUAUUUAUUUAUAUAAUAAAUCUGAUGGCUAAAAACAUUUAGGGAAAUUACCAAACUUUUCCAACCUUUAUUUUUCGUUUGAAAAAAAAAACCUUUAUUUUCAUAAAUAUAUCUUUAUUUUAAUUUUUCUUGCUGAAUUAGUCUUCUCCUUCCUCUGGAACUUGGGUGCCUUCUGCGACUUGGGCUAGAGCAAAAGAAUGUUAACCUUUUGGCCUCACUCGAUCGACCUCAACGUCAUGGCAGCCGUGGCCUGUGAACUCCCGUUUGGUUUGAAGAGCAACAUAGCGUUGAGUACUGGAUCUGAAAUGGCUGACGCAUUUUUGGUGCCCUUCUUUUCAUCUUUGAGUUUUAAUACUCAUGGCUCCAAACUGAUCGGGUUGAUCGUCAAUUGCAGGUUUUCUCGCUGAAUUACUCUUCUCCUUCGUCUUGAACUUGGGUAGAGCAAAAGGGAUUCCACAACAUAAUCAAUGCCUCAUGGCCGCCGUGGCCUGUGAACUCCUGUUUGGUUUGAAGAGGCAACAUAGCGUUGAGUACUGGAUCUGAAAUGGCUGACGCAUUUUUUGUGCCCUUCUUUUCCUCUUUGAAUUUUAAUACUCAUGGCCAGAGUACUGAUCAGGUUGAUCGUCAAUUGCAGGUUGUGUUGGUUUUGGUAUUGGCUAGAAGUUCUCCAUAGUAAGCUAUUUGGAGGGGACAACGGUUCUUAAGGAUCUAAUUCAGAAGGAUAACAUUACUAUAUAAGAGGCUUUAUCUCAAUGGUAUUGGCUUACAACCCAUGUCAAUUUUACCAAAGGAAUGGUAAUUUUUCCAUUAUUUUUGAUACCAUACAAUCGAGAAUUAGCAUUCUUCUAGUUUACAACAUAAAUGUAAUCUCAAUAAUAAAUUUUAAAGUGUUCAAAUAUAUAAUUUCAAUUGAUUUUUCAUAGUGUGUUAUGUAUAUAUUUGUUCAUUAUUAUUUUUAAAAGGAGAUUUUGUCAACUGUUCAUGAAAUUAUGUGAGAUCUUUUUUGGUUAUAUGAUAUAUAUAUAUGUAUGUGUAUAUAUAUGUAAUGUGUUUAUAUAAAAAAUUAAAUAUUGAAAUCCUAAUGAAUUAUGUUAUGUGAUUUUAUAGAUGAUGGUUUGAAGUCAAUUCAGGUGAGUGCAGCAAAUUCGGAAAGGCUUUGGGAUUGGGUUAUUAUGCUAUUGGAGAGUUGUUUUUGGCAGUGACAUUGUAUCAAGUGUUAAUCUUGGUUCUGAAUUAUUGAUAAAUGACAUUGCACAAAUUAAAUUAGGUUUGAGUACUUUUAGCUCUAGAUAUCAGUUUGAGUUUGAGUAUAAAUCUAAGAACAUUUUCUAUUUGUGUAUUGUAUAAAUUUUUGUUGAUGAACAAAACAAAUAAUAAAUCUGAACAGAAAAAAAAAAUCAUGUAUGAAGGAUAAGUUAUGCAAAAUCAGAGUAAUCCUUCCUUUUUUUAUUUGUGAUUGUUAUUUUUCAAAUUAAAUAUUGGUUUCGAAUAUGGAUGAUUAAAUAUGUUUUCCUAUCUUAUCACAAAUUUUGUAAUUUCAUAUUACUUUUUGUAAUUUUAUGACAUAAUAAUUUGUUUAACUAUGUAUAAAUUUGUGAUGGUGGUGGGAGUCGUUACUAAGGCUGAGGCUAUUCAAAUUAAUGGCCGGUGAUGAUGAAUGUAUUUUUUUUGGGUAAUGAUGAAUGUAUUUUGAUUUUGGUUAUAUUUUUUUGAUUAAUUAAAGAUAGUAUUUUGAUUUUUGAUGAUGCAUUUAUAUAUUUUGUUGAAACUAUUUAUUGUUUGUUUCUCCAAACAUUGAUGAAUAGAUAGAGUAUAUAAUAUCACAUUAUGUUUGGUCUACAGAUAAUCCUAUUGUUGCAGCAAUCUUGGAGGGGAAAAUUAUUAAGCUUUUUCUAAAAAAAUGAGGAUGAUUUGGCAAUGAUAGCAGAGAAUAUUUUUUACUGAUUUAGAUGCUGAGAGGGAAGAUCUGAAAAGGUGAAUUUCAAAAUACUCUUGUUAAAAUGAGAGUUGAGAUAGUUGUUCCACUUCACUUUCUUUUAAAUAAUGAGAGUUGAGAUGGUUGUUCCAGUUCACUUUUAAAUAAUUUAUUAUAGUAUCGUUUGUAAUUGUACUUGAAACCCAUUCAAUUUCAUUCUUUCAAUACGUGUUUUAGUUUUAUUAUUUCUAGAAUUAUGUGAUUAUACUAUCAAGCUUCUGUAUUCAAUUCUUAAGUUUUUAUAUUUAUAUUCAACGUUUUUACAUUUUGUUCUA